CUCUGACUUUCAAAUAAAAAAAUCAAUCUUUAAAAAAAUAAAAUGCUGCUUUAUUUCAUUAGAAGACAGAGUUACUGCGGUUGGGGGAAGAUCUUCCAUCCACUGGUUCACUUCCAAAUGGCUGCAACAGCUGGGGCUGGUCCAAGCUGAAGCCAGGAGCCGAGAGCUCCAUCUGGGUCUCUUACAUGGGUGGAGGGCUCCAAGUACUUCGGUCACUCUCUUCUGCUUUCCCAAGUGCAUUAGCAGGAAACUGGAUGGAAAGUGAAGCAGCCAGGACUCAAACUGGUGCCCUGAUAUGCCAAGAUGGGAUGCUGGCAUUGCAUAGGUGGUGUCUUAACCCAACGCACCACCUCAGCAGCCCUUAAAUCUAGGUUUUAAAAAUAUCCUUUUUAAAAAAAGAAACUUUAGCGACAAUGCUCAAUCUUAACAUACACAAAGGUUCUACAAAGUGACAUUAGCAAAAUGCUACAAAAGAAGAGGGUUUGAAGUCUGUUAGUAAAAUGGCAUGGUCUUAUCUGUGGCGUGAUCUUGGUUCCAGACACCAUCCUAGGCUCUAGCCCCCACCACCAUUGCUGGAAGCCAGGUGACCAGAUGGCCCAACCAUAGCUGUCGGCUUUAAUGGGCAGCCAUCCUAAUGGGAUUCGCUGCUCCUACUUCCCUGCCCCCUCACCCCGGCAAAGGUAUAACAGGACCUGCUUCCCGCACAGGUGCUCUCUCUCUCUUGCUCUUCUUCACCUCUUCCCUCCGGCUGUCAAAUUUCCCCGUCAAUAAGCCCUUUCCCUUAACUCCGGUGUUUGGUGUGUUUUGUGGUGACCUUACAAAGUCCACUUAACGAAAUUAUUUUUUUGAAUCAUCUGACAACCUUUAAGAGUCUAUUCUAGGGCCGGCGCCGCGGCUCACUAGGCUAAUCCUCCGCCUUGCGGCGCCGGCACACCGGGUUCUAGUCCCGGUUGGGGCGCCGGAUUCUGUCCCGGUUGCCCCUCUUCCAGGCCAGCCCUCUGCUGUGGCCAGGGAGUGCAGUGGAGGAUGGCCCAGGUGCUUGGGCCCUGCACCCCAUGGGAGACCAGGAAAAGCACCUGGCUCCUGGCUCCUGCCAUCGGAUCAGCGCGGUGCACCGGCCGCAGCGCGCCGGCCGCGGCGGCCAUUGGAGGGUGAACCAACGGCAAAGGAAGACCUUUCUCUCUGUCUCUCUCUCUCACUGUCCACUCUGCCUGUCAAAAAAAAAAAUAAAUAAAUAAAUAAAAAAAAAAAAAAA